rnacentral:lncRNA from 1 species
CAAGUACUCCGGCGUUGUCCUUGUUCUUGUGGAUCGUCUCAACUGCGGUUCCUCUUGCGUCUCAUCUUCGUCAUCAGAGAUCUCCACAACAUCAUUAUCAAUGAUCUCAUCACUGUUAUCUACCUUCUUGCUAGUCUGUUCAGUUAUGACAGCACUGUUAUCUUCCUUAGGACUCACGUGAAACUCGACUUCUCUGAGUCCUCUGUUUCCAAAUUCUCCGAGGUUGAUACUAAGUGAACUCUGGUCCCG